rnacentral:rRNA from 1 species
UACGUAGGUGGCAAGCGUUGUCCGGAUUUACUGGGCGUAAAGAGCGCGCAGGCGGCCGAGUAAGUCGAAUGUGAAAGCCCCCGGCUCAACUGGGGAAGGUCAUUCGAUACUGUUCGGCUUGAAGAUAGGAGAGGGAAGCGGAAUUUCAGGUGUAGCGGUGAAAUGCGUAGAUAUCUGGAGGAAUACCGGUGGCGAAGGCGGCAUCCUGGACCGACAUUGACGCUGAACGGCGAAAGCUAGGGGAGCAAACGGG